GAGAUAUCGCUGCACCAACAGAGGAAGUUGUGCAAAAGUUUGUAGAAACAAAGGCUCGAAAGUUAAAUCUGACUUUAUAAUAUGCGAUCUGAAGCAACAAGAUAUAACGGAUCUCUUGUGUAAUGUUGGACCACGAGGCACAGAAUUGCGUCACAACUACCAAUUGUUGCUGUUUUACAG